CGGGGGAUAACUAUUGGAAACGAUAGCUAAUACCGCAUAAGAGCAGUUGUUGCAUGACAGCUGUUUAAAAGGUGCAAUUGCACCACUACCAGAUGGACCUGCGUUGUAUUAGCUAGUUGGUGAGGUAACGGCUCACCAAGGCGACGAUACAUAGCCGACCUGAGAGGGUGAUCGGCCACACUGGGACUGAGACACGGCCCAGACUCCUACGGGAGGCAGCAGUAGGGAAUCUUCGGCAAUGGGGGCAACCCUGACCGAGCAACGCCGCGUGAGUGAAGAAGGUUUUCGGAUCGUAAAGCUCUGUUGUAAGAGAAGAACGAGUGUGAGAGUGGAAAGUUCACGCUGUGACGGUAUCUUACCAGAAAGGGACGGCUAACUACGUGCCAGCAGCCGCGGUAAUACGUAGGUCCCGAGCGUUAUCCGGAUUUAUUGGGCGUAAAGCGAGCGCAGGCGGUUAGAUAAGUCUGAAGUUAAAGGCUGUGGCUUAACCAUAGUACGCUUUGGAAACUGUUUAACUUGAGUGCAAGAGGGGAGAGUGGAAUUCCAUGUGUAGCGGUGAAAUGCGUAGAUAUAUGGAGGAACACCGGUGGCGAAAGCGGCUCUCUGGCUUGUAACUGACGCUGAGGCUCGAAAGCGUGGGGAGCAAACAGGAUUAGAUAUCCUGGUAGUCCACGCCGUAAACGAUGAGUGCUAGGUGUUAGACCCU
rnacentral:rRNA from 1 species